rnacentral:lncRNA from 1 species
AAAAAUAAAAUUUACUGACUCUUGAUGACAGAGAAUUUAAUAUAACACCAUGUGUGUUUUUAGAGCAUUUGGUUGGCAGACUUUUGGUAAAACUUUUGUUAGCAUAGUUCGUAGUUUUAAAAAAAUCUACAAAUAAUUCUUCAUAAAACUAAACAAAAAUCAAAAUUUUGUAAUCAAUGUGCGAAGGAACAGACAAGUCCACAGUCGGCUGAUGGGACUAUCAAUUGCUUUUACGCUUUUAGAAAGGAAUUUACCAUAAUUAUCAAAAACCUUAGAAAUACUCUUAUUCUUAUCUCAAUAAUUCCAUUGAUGAGACUCCUUUUCUAAGAUACAACCUGAAAUCUGAGCCAAGUUCUAUGCACAAAGAUGUUCAUUGCAUCAUUACUUUUACAGAGUUAAAUCACUGGAAACAAUCUAUGUGCCCAGAUAACUGAAAAUUAAUUUUGGUGCUAUACUCACUUAUUGGAAUAUUAUAAAGACAUUGCAGAGAGACACGGCGGUGGGGAAGACACCUAGACUUCGGGAUUUCCAGGACUGGCCCUAUCUCCUGCUGGGUGUGAGGACUCUGGCCAAGUUUGCCACCUCUCCGGGGUUUCAUUUUUCUCUUAGGGCUUUGUGAGUACAAAAUGAGACAAUGAGUCUUUCCUUUCUGUGAAAACUAUAAAAUGCCAUAUGAAUUUGAGCAGAGGGAGGUAGCACAUAAAAGAUUCUAGUCCACAAGACAGUGUUCAAGCAAGCACUGAGCGCAGGCACAAGCACAGCUUGCCCUGAUGGGCUUUUGUUAUGAAGAAAUGGUCUUGAAUCUCAGCCUAAACAAACAAUGGGGAAGCGUCUUGGCAAAAGAUAAGGAGCAAGAAUGUGUUUUUGCACUAGACCUUCUUGUUCUUUAGAUGAUAUCAACUUCUAGCAGAAUGCCAACUAAAGUUGCAAAGAAAACAAACAGUUCUGCACAUUUCCUGCCAUCUAAGGCUGACCCCCCAUCUCCCAAUUCUUUUUUGCCUGUUUGUGAUUGGAGGGCCUACUGUCCUCUCAGACUGACCAAAGGGUUAUGAUUUGCGGUCAUCGUCAUCGUGAGCAGCACCCAACUACUACUCGAGAUACCCAGGCCUAGCUUACAGGAAGCAGGGGACGGAGUCCUGUAUUCAGGCACCUUGGAUGUGUGGGUUCCCCCAGCAGCUGAGCAUCACCCCAGCCUGCUCCUUCCAGGUGACACUAAGGAAGUGCAACCCCUCCCAGAAGAGCAUGAGCCUGGUGAAGUCCUCAGUGGAACCAGAACUGUUCUUCUCGUCAAGCAGUUAUCUAUGUUAUCUUUCUUGGCACGAUUGUCUUAUGGAUUAGGGAGAUUAGGGGUAAUAAAUGUCUCGUUUGAGUGACAAGCUGGAAA